rnacentral:rRNA from 1 species
GACCUUUUGUCUAUUUAUUUAAGGUCUGACCUGCCCAAUGAGGAAUUGAAUGGCCGCAGUAUUUUAACUGUGCUAAGGUAGCAUAAUCAUUUGUCUUUUAAUUGAGGGCUGGAAUGAAAGGUUGGACGAGGUAUUUACUUUCUUUAAUUUAAUUGGAAUAAUUUAAUUUUUGAGUCAAAAAGCUUAAAUUUAUUUAUUGGACGAGAAGACCCUGUAGAUCUUUAUAAUUUUAUAUUUCAAUAAUUUAGGGUUUAAUUUAUUUGGAGUUGAAUAAUUGUUUGAUUGGGGUGAUUGUAGAAUUUAAAUAACUUCUAUUUUUUGGAUUUCAUUAAUUUAUGUAUUUAUGAUCCAUAUAUUUGUGAUUAAAAGAUUAAGUUACCUCAGGGAUAACAGCGUAAUUUCCCCGGAGAGUUCAUAUUGAUGGGGGAGUUUGCGACCUCGAUGUUGGAUUAAAAUAAGUUAUGGAUGCAGUAGUUCAUAUACUAGGUCUGUUCGACCUUUAAAUUUUU